AUCACUUCUCAGCCUUUUGGCUAAGAUCAAGUGUAGUAUCUGAAUAAUUUAUUAUAUAUCAAUGAAAUAUAU
ensembl:snRNA U2 U2 spliceosomal RNA